GAUGAACGCUGGCGGCGUGCCUAAUACAUGCAAGUCGAACGCUGAAGGAGGAGCUUGCUCUUCUGGAUGAGUUGCGAACGGGUGAGUAACGCGUAGGUAACCUGCCUGGUAGCGGGGGAUAACUAUUGGAAACGAUAGCUAAUACCGCAUGACAACAGUUAUUGCAUGAUAACUGUUUAAAAGGGGCAACUGCUCCACUACCAGAUGGACCUGCGUUGUAUUAGCUAGUUGGUGAGGUAACGGCUCACCAAGGCGACGAUACAUAGCCGACCUGAGAGGGUGAUCGGCCAAACUGGGACUGAGACACGGCCCAGACUCCUACGGGAGGCAGCAGUAGGGAAUCUUCGGCAAUGGACGGAAGUCUGACCGAGCAACGCCGCGUGAGUGAAGAAGGUUUUCGGAUCGUAAAGCUCUGUUGUAAGAGAAGAACGAGUGUGAGAGUGGAAAGUUCACACUGUGACGGUAUCUUACCAGAAAGGGACGGCUAACUACGUG
rnacentral:rRNA from 1 species